rnacentral:lncRNA from 1 species
AAUUGGGCUAUAAUUUUUAUUAACAAAAAGGACAAACACUUUCAAAUGGGUGUUCAUUUAGGUGGAUGCUCUGAUUGGCAUUCUUCUCCACCAUAAAGGAUUACAAGUGGGAAGAGCUCAUUACAAACCACAAUUUUGUCUGCAAACAUGUUCAAACCACUUCAGCGCAGCUGCAAGAUGCAAAUGGUUCGCUCUUCAAGCAUGUAAGCAUGUUUGCACCAAAAAAAUUCGGUAGCAUCUUUUUUUUUUUGAAUCGUAUAUAGCCAAAUGCUCUUUCAGAAUGUCACUGACAUAGGGCAUACAUGGGUUAGAACAAAACAGAUGUUUUCUUAAUACCUUAGGAAGCAUAAUAUAUCCAUUUCAACUUUUCUUUCGAUUACCUGCAUCUGCAUGCUCAGUAUUCAACAUGUCUUCCCAAGCACUUUUACAUUUUUUCUAAUCUGUGCAUGUUGCUCCAUAGCUAGCUUCACCCUCAAAACAAUACAAAUAUAUUUUCAAAGACCAAAAGUGCAGGCAUUCAUGGUGUGGCCUUAUGAUCCAAGGGCAAUAUUAAUGUUAGAAAGGUAAUGAUACACUCUUGACUGAAUUUAAUAGCAGCAUUGAUCUCUUGCAAAAAGAAAUAGAAUCAUGCUAGUAAAUUAUAUGAAGAAUACUUGUCAUGAUUCACUUCCAAAUUAUUGUUGCAGAUAUUCUUUACAACUCCUCAGUUGAAAAUGUCACACAGGGUGAAGUAUCAUAUCAUCUGUGACAAAAUCUAAGAUCCCUCUCUAUUUUCUGGCCUUAAUCUUUAUAGAAGUAUAAGAACUUACCCUAAUAUCAAUUUUGAUUGCUUCAUUUAUUUGUCAGCUUAUAAGACUUAUCGCAAACAAUGAGAAUAUUUUCCAGAAAAAAAUCUAAAAGCAUAUUGUAUUACUGGCCUCCUGAGCAUUCGACCAAAAAAAAAACAGAGGCAAUCAUCUAUUCAUGUGCAGUACUGUGUACGGAUAAAUAGAGCUACAGUACAGGGGUCUUAAGCAAUUCAUUGCCUGGACCCUUAGGGUGUGUUUAGUUCACGCCAAAAUUAGAAGUUUGUUUGAAAUUGAAACGAUGUGACGGAAAAGUUGGAAGUUUGUGUGUAGGAAAGUUUUGAUGUGAUGGAAAAGUUGGAAGUUUGAAGAAAAAUUUUGCAACUAAACACGGCUAAAGAACCAACCUGGUGAAGCAAACAACCGGCGACGCAAGAUUGCCAAUUUCCUUUUCCUCCGAAUGACCAAAGACUGGUACGAAGGGCCAGAAUUGAACGAGGUAGCUAAAAAAAAGGUAACAUAAUCAAACUUUCCAAAAGCAAAGGACAAAGACAAAUUCAAAUCUAGAGAAGUGACGUUUACAUUUCGGGCAAAAGGGGAGUAAAAAUGAAUAUAGUAACGAAGGAAAAGGCAAUUACCUGUUGAUCGUGUUGAUUCACAUGCUGGCCGUGAGGAAGAACUCCUACCACGAAGGAUUGCGGCACGACGAGCUCUAGCAGAUGAUACAGACAGCAUAAACCAAUACGACCAAGUAAGUAUACCCAGUGCCUAAUAAGAUUUCACAAGUAAGAACAUGGAUAUCAUAAUUUUACAGAAACAAGGAGGCGUACGAUCAGUACAACAUUAACACAAUAUAAAUGAAAGAACAGAGCAAGCGUCGGGAGGGAAAAAAAAGAACAAAGAAGAAACAAAUAACGAACCGGUCGUAGAAAGGAAAACAGAAGAGCAAGCACUGAUGCACAGAGUAACCAUAUAAAGGAGAGGGGCAAGAAGGGACAGCAAGCAAGGGCAUGGACACGCAUACAACAAACAAUAGACAUGCAAGCCGACACCUACACCAAUAAACAGUGAAUUAACUCGCCAGCACAACCUGUGAGGACAGUAAAUACCACAGGAGGUCGACACGCACAUGAAUCACCCCCAGUAAAUACCCUGCCUUCAAAGAAGACAACGCACGCAGCAACGAAUCAGCCCACAGGCAGGACAACCGGACAGCAAGGUCGACAAGAAACAUCAGCUCAAUCAACAAAAAAGGCAGGGUAAUGACAACCGCAUAAAUACAUACGGUAGCAGUAAUAACAAAUUAAGACCACUUGACAAAUACACUUGAAAAGUUACCAGCAAUCACAGCAACCUACAUCACCCAAAGAGGGGGGGAUGCCGCUUACAAACGGGAAUUGGGCAGGUCCCAUAAAUAUGACCAUAUGUGUGUUGACCCAUAGUUAUUUUUACCCCUUCCGAACAACGGUACCCUUUUUACUAACUAUGUAAAACUGUAACACUAGAACAAUGUUUAAAAAAUAAAAUAAAAUAUCGCACACAACAGCAAAGAGGGCAAUUUUUCCUACACAAGGGCCUCAUGAAAAGGGAAAUUUUUUACAAGACCCAACACAUGGAAAGGGUAAGCAAGACGCAUUGGGAAAAUUUGCAAGCACAAAAUACAUGUAGGAAAAAAGUAAACAGCAAAAAAUUGAGAAAAGGGCUAAAACCUGCAUACCAUACUGCUUGCUACCACCAAAUACAAGAACAAGUCAAUUUACAUGCAGACCCAUAGAAGAAUCGCAAGAAAAAAAACAAGAAAUCGGCAAGGAGCACUGUGCAGAGCCUAGAAACCGACUACGACAAUCAGCGGGAAUAGAACUAUACCUCACCAAGAGCCAAGAGCUGAGCCAUUAUAAGGAAAGUAGGAACGCCGACAUGCCAAGAACUCAGAUCAGGCUGGGCGGGCGACGGCGACGGUUAGGU